GAUGAACGCUGGCGGCGUGCCUAAUACAUGCAAGUCGAGCGAACGGACGAGAAGCUUGCUUCUCUGAUGUUAGCGACGGACGGGUGAGUAACACGUGGAUAACCUACCUAUAAGACUGGGAUAACUUCGGGAAACCGGAGCUAAUACCGGAUGAUAUUUUGAACCGCAUGGUUCAAAAGUGAAAGACGGUCUUGCUGUCACUUAUAGAUGGAUCCGCGCUGCAUUAGCUAGUUGGUAAGGUAACGGCUUACCAAGGCAACGAUGCAUAGCCGACCUGAGAGGGUGAUCGGCCACACUGGAGCUGAGACACGGUCCAGACUCCUACGGGAGGCAGCAGUAGGGAAUCUUCCGCAAUGGGCGAAAGCCUGACGGAGCAACGCCGCGUGAGUGAUGAAGGUCUUCGGAUCGUAAAACUCUGUUAUUAGGGAAGAACAUAUGUGUAAGUAACUGUGCACAUCUUGACGGUACCUAAUCAGAAAGCCACGGCUAACUACGUG
rnacentral:rRNA from 1 species